CGCAACCCUCAUUGUUAGUUACUACCAUUCAGUUGAGGACUCUAAUGAGACUGCCAACGACAAGUUGGAGGAAGGUGGGGAUGACGUCAAAUCAUCAUGCCCUUUAUGACCUGGGCUACAAACGUACUACAAUGGUCGGUACAGAGGGUUGCCAAGCCGCGAGGUGGAGCCAAUCCCUUAAAGCCGAUCGUAGUCCGGAUCGUAGUCUGCAACUCGACUACGUGAAGUCGGAAUCGCUAGUAAUCGCAGAUCAGCAUGCUGCGGUGAAUACGUUCCCGGGUCUU
rnacentral:rRNA from 1 species